GACAGAGGAUGCAAGCGUUAUCCGGAAUGAUUGGGCGUAAAGCGUCUGUAGGUGGCUUUUUAAGUCCGCCGUCAAAUCCCAGGGCUCAACCCUGGACAGGCGGUGGAAACUACCAAGCUGGAGUACGGGAGAGGGCAGUGGAAUUCCUGGUGUAGCGGUGAAAUGCGUAGAUAUCAGGAGGAACACCGGUGGCGAAGGCGGCUGCCUGGCCUAGAACUGACGCUGAGGUGCGAAAGCGUGGGGAGCGAACGGG
rnacentral:rRNA from 1 species